rnacentral:snoRNA from 1 species
UUAUAAUGAUGUUAUCAGAUGUCUGACCUGAAAUCAGUAUGUGGACAACCCUUCUUACUGAAAGA